AUUGUCAAUUUUCCUUUUUCCUAUGAACCGUUACUUGUAGAUAAAUGGUCUUAGUUGAAUUUGUUGGGGUUAUGUUUCAAAAGCUUGUUCCAUCAGCAGAAUUUCAUGGGAAAGACUAAUCUAUACAGGAUGGGCCUCGCAUGCAACUCGUGUGAGAGUUAUUUGGAAGUCUUUUGUAUAAGAGUCCCUCCAGAAAAGGUAACUAUAUGGAGGAAGAAUUAUUUUUGGAGGGAGAAUUUUGUCUGUAUGAAGGGUAAUUGUGUCAGUUAAAUUCACAUGAGAAAUUGAAUACAGGAAGGGGCUGCGGCUAGUAUUGCUCCCUAUUGGUUACUUGGGCCCUACUUGAUGUCUAGGUGUUAAUUAGGGAAUCAUUAUUAAUUGUCUCGGUCAAGUAAAAGACAGUAUGGCUGUUCACAUGCCAGUUUUUCAUUGGUUGGGGAAGGACAACUAGAAUAGCUUUAGGUCCAAAACUGGUAGGUCUUUGCUAGCCGGAGUCGUACCAUCGAACCCGGCAUCACCCGAGGAGAUCCGGAGGAGAUGAGAGCCCUUUCCAGCAGGAUCGCUGUAGAUAUCAAUUCCCUACAAACAUUGCAUAGAUUGUUGCAUGGUGCUUGCUCUGAACUAGUCAAUUUACAGAAGAUAGUAGCUCAUAAGGAUUUCUAGCUUCACAGAUUCAAUCUGAUCAAAAUAUAGGUCUUUCGAAAACACUUCUUUGUGAUGGCACCUAAAAUCUAGGUGUUCCUACCAGUAGCUUGCAUUCAAGUAGAACUCUCUGGAACAUCGAUGGCGUGUUCUUGGGUGACUGGCUGAAUUUCUGGGCCGCUGGUUGUGUUUCAGUUCAGGAUGUAUUUGCUUUGUGUGUAUUUGUCUUUUGUUUUGUUUUGUAUCUUGUUCGCUGUGGAGUGACAAUAGGGUCACCUUCCUCUGCGCUUUUUUUUUCCCUUAAUGAUUCCGUCAAUAAAAUAAAUAAAAUAAAAUAAAACUAAGUGAUAUUAUUAUUGGUGCAGGUGAAUGUUAACUUGGCUGGACUACCUGCACUGGUGCUGCCAUGUGGGUUGAUUGAAGGUGGACCCGUCGGCCUUCCUGUUGGACUUCAAAUGAUUGGUGCUGCCUUUGAUGAGGAACAUUUGAUGGCGUCUUGGAGCUUAUGGUUUAUGCUGGCAGAAGUCUGCCUAAAGCUAUCAUGAUGAUGAUAUCUGAGGCAUGGCAAAAUGUUGAAAACAUGGAUCGUGAUAGAAAAGCCUUAUACGAAUAUUUUUCAGCUCGUAUGGAGCCAUGAGAUGGACCUGCACUUAUAUCAUUUACUGAUGGCCGCUAUCUUGGAGCGACAUUGGACCGGAAUGGAUUGCACCCCGGUCGCUUUUACAUUACACAUAGUGGAUGUGUGAUCAUGGCUGGUGAGGUUGGUGUUGUAGACAUCUGCCAGGAGAUGUGGCUAGGAAAGGAAGA